UUAAGCGACUAAGCGUACACGGUGGAUGCCCUGGCAGUCAGAGGCGAUGAAGGACGUGCUAAUCUGCGAAAAGCGUCGGUAAGGUGAUAUGAACCGUUAUAACCGGCGAUGUCCGAAUGGGGAAACCCAGUGCAAUUCGUUGCACUAUCGUUAACUGAAUACAUAGGUUAACGAGGCGAACCGGGGGAACUGAAACAUCUAAGUACCCCGAGGAAAAGAAAUCAACCGAGAUUCCCCCAGUAGCGGCGAGCGAACGGGGAGCAGCCCAGAGUCUGAAUCAGCUUGUGUGUUAGUGGAACGGUCUGGAAAGUCCGACGGUACAGGGUGAUAGUCCCGUACACCAAAAUGCACAGGUUGUGAACUCGAAGAGUAGGGCGGGACACGUGGUAUCCUGUCUGAAUAUGGGGGGACCAUCCUCCAAGGCUAAAUACUCCUGACUGACCGAUAGUGAACCAGUACCGUGAGGGAAAGGCGAAAAGAACCCCGGCGAGGGGAGUGAAAAAGAACCUGAAACCGUGUACGUACAAGCAGUGGGAGCACCUUCGGGUGUGACUGCGUACCUUUUGUAUAAUGGGUCAGCGACUUAUAUUCUGUAGCAAGGUUAACCGUAUAGGGGAGCCGCAGGGAAACCGAGUCUUAACUGGGCGUUAAGUUGCAGGGUAUAGACCCGAAACCCGGUGAUCUAGCCAUGGGCAGGUUGAAGGUUGGGUAACACUAACUGGAGGACCGAACCGACUAAUGUUGAAAAAUUAGCGGAUGACUUGUGGCUGGGGGUGAAAGGCCAAUCAAACCGGGAGAUAGCUGGUUCUCCCCGAAAGCUAUUUAGGUAGCGCCUCGUGAACUCAUCUUCGGGGGUAGAGCACUGUUUCGGCUAGGGGGUCAUCCCGACUUACCAACCCGAUGCAAACUACGAAUACCGAAGAAUGUUAUCACGGGAGACACACGGCGGGUGCUAACGUCCGUCGUGAAGAGGGAAACAACCCAGACCGCCAGCUAAGGUCCCAAAGUCAUGGUUAAGUGGGAAACGAUGUGGGAAGGCACAGACAGCCAGGAUGUUGGCUUAGAAGCAGCCAUCAUUUAAAGAAAGCGUAAUAGCUCACUGGUCGAGUCGGCCUGCGCGGAAGAUGUAACGGGGCUAAACCAUGCACCGAAGCUGCGGCAGCGACACUAUGUGUUGUUGGGUAGGGGAGCGUUCUGUAAGCCUGCGAAGGUGACCUGUGAGGGUUGCUGGAGGUAUCAGAAGUGCGAAUGCUGACAUAAGUAACGAUAAAGCGGGUGAAAAGCCCGCUCGCCGGAAGACCAAGGGUUCCUGUCCAACGUUAAUCGGGGCAGGGUGAGUCGACCCCUAAGGCGAGGCCGAAAGGCGUAGUCGAUGGGAAACAGGUUAAUAUUCCUGUACUUGGUGUUACUGCGAAGGGGGGACGGAGAAGGCUAUGUUAGCCGGGCGACGGUUGUCCCGGUUUAAGCAUGUAGGCUGAUUGUCCAGGCAAAUCCGGAUAAUCAAGGCUGAGGUGUGAUGACGAGGCACUACGGUGCUGAAGUAACAAAUGCCCUGCUUCCAGGAAAAGCCUCUAAGCAUCAGGUAACAUCAAAUCGUACCCCAAACCGACACAGGUGGUCAGGUAGAGAAUACCAAGGCGCUUGAGAGAACUCGGGUGAAGGAACUAGGCAAAAUGGUGCCGUAACUUCGGGAGAAGGCACGCUGGUGUGUAGGUGAAGUCCCUGCGGAUGGAGCUGAGACCAGUCGAAGAUACCAGCUGGCUGCAACUGUUUAUUAAAAACACAGCACUGUGCAAACACGAAAGUGGACGUAUACGGUGUGACGCCUGCCCGGUGCCGGAAGGUUAAUUGAUGGGGUUAUCCGUAAGGAGAAGCUCUUGAUCGAAGCCCCGGUAAACGGCGGCCGUAACUAUAACGGUCCUAAGGUAGCGAAAUUCCUUGUCGGGUAAGUUCCGACCUGCACGAAUGGCGUAAUGAUGGCCAGGCUGUCUCCACCCGAGACUCAGUGAAAUUGAACUCGCUGUGAAGAUGCAGUGUACCCGCGGCAAGACGGAAAGACCCCGUGAACCUUUACUAUAGCUUGACACUGAACAUUGAGCCUUGAUGUGUAGGAUAGGUGGGAGGCUUUGAAGCGUGGACGCCAGUCUGCGUGGAGCCAACCUUGAAAUACCACCCUUUAAUGUUUGAUGUUCUAACGUUGGCCCCUUAUCGGGGUUGCGGACAGUGUCUGGUGGGUAGUUUGACUGGGGCGGUCUCCUCCCAAAGCGUAACGGAGGAGCACGAAGGUUAGCUAAUCCUGGUCGGACAUCAGGAGGUUAGUGCAAUGGCAUAAGCUAGCUUGACUGCGAGCGUGACGGCGCGAGCAGGUGCGAAAGCAGGUCAUAGUGAUCCGGUGGUUCUGAAUGGAAGGGCCAUCGCUCAACGGAUAAAAGGUACUCCGGGGAUAACAGGCUGAUACCGCCCAAGAGUUCAUAUCGACGGCGGUGUUUGGCACCUCGAUGUCGGCUCAUCACAUCCUGGGGCUGAAGUAGGUCCCAAGGGUAUGGCUGUUCGCCAUUUAAAGUGGUACGCGAGCUGGGUUUAGAACGUCGUGAGACAGUUCGGUCCCUAUCUGCCGUGGGCGCUGGAGAAUUGAGGGGGGCUGCUCCUAGUACGAGAGGACCGGAGUGGACGCAUCACUGGUGUUCGGGUUGUCAUGCCAAUGGCACUGCCCGGUAGCUAAAUGCGGAAGAGAUAAGUGCUGAAAGCAUCUAAGCACGAAACUUGCCCCGAGAUGAGUUCUCCCUGAGACUUUAAGUCUCCUGAAGGAACGUUAAAGACGAUGACGUUGAUAGGCCGGGUGUGUAAGCGCAGCGAUGCGUUGAGCUAACCGGUACUAAUGAACCGUGAGGCUUAACCUU
rnacentral:rRNA from 1 species